CGCCUCAUCAGCAGCAGGAGCAAGAAGAUGGCGAAGAGUUCCUACCAAGGUGGGAUGAAGACCAACUGAUGCCCUAAGCACAGCACAGCUGUGUGCCUCUCAGCCCUUCCAUUGUUUAACUGACAAGACAUGAAGACUCAACACGUAAUCUCUGGCCACAGACCAUCAAAUGAUCAGAAGAUACAGUAUCUGCUAGAACUGUUAUCCCAAUCCUUUUUAUAAUGUCAUGUUUUAAGCUGGAUGGACAUAGGUCAGAUGCUGUAAAUUCUAUCUAUAGAAGAGACUUGUCUUAAAAGAAAAAGAGAACUUUGCCAGCAGACAAGAGGCAAAUAUUUCUCAAAAGUGGUGGUUACCUGGGGGUAGU